rnacentral:rRNA from 1 species
AGCAGCCGCGGUAAUUCCAGCUCCAAUAGCGUAUAUUAAAGUUGUUGCAGUUAAAAAGCUCGUAGUUGAAUUUCGGAAUUUUUUAUCGGUUGAAUCAACAGGUUCGUACUGAUUUUAAGAAUUUCUACCUUCUGGAGAACCUUAAUGUCAUUUAUUUGGUGUUUUGGGAAACCAGGACUGUUACCUUGAAAAAUUAGAGUGUUUAAAGCAGGCUUAUGUCUGAAUAUAUUAGCAUGGAAUAAUGAAAUAGGACGGCAUGGUUCUAUUUUGUUGGUUUCUAGGAUCACCGUAAUGAUUAAUAGGGAUAGUUGGGGGCAUUAGUAUUCAAUUGUCAGAGGUGAAAUUCUUGGAUUUAUUGAAGACUAACUUCUGCGAAAGCAUUUGCCAAGGAUGUUUUCAUUAAUCAAGAACGAAAGUUAGGGGAUCGAAGACGAUCAGAUACCGUCGUAGUCUUAACCAUAAACUAUGCCGACUAGGAAUCGGACGAAGU